rnacentral:tRNA from 1 species
UCCUCCAUAGUUCAGUUGGUAGAACAGCGGACUGUUAAUCCGCGUGUCACUGGUUCGAAUCCAGUUGGAGGAGCCA